GCGCAGCAGUCGAGAAUCCUCCGCGAUGCGGGCAACCGCGACGGGGGACCCCAGUGCCGUGGCAUCGCCACGGCUUUUCCGGAGUGUAAAAAGCUCCGGGAAUAAGGGCUGGGCAAGGCCGGUGGCAGCCGCCGCGGUAAUACCGGCGGCCCGAGUGGUGGCCGCUAUUAUUGGGCCUAAAGCGUCCGUAGCCGGGCCUGUAAGUCCCUGGCGAAAUCCCACGGCUCAACCGUGGGGCUUGCUGGGGAUACUGCAGGCCUUGGGACCGGGAGAGGCCGGGGGGUACCCCUGGGGGUAGGGGUGAAAAGUCCUAUAAUCCCGAGGGGGACCGCCAGUGGCGAAGGCGCCCGGCUGGAACGGGUCCGACGGUGAGGGACGAAGGCCAGGGGAGCGAACCGGAUUAGAUACCCCGGUAGU
rnacentral:rRNA from 1 species